GGAAAUGUAGCUCAGUGGUAGAGCAUUUGACUGCAAGUCAAGAGGUCCCUGGUUCAAACCUAGGUACUUCCU